AACGAACGCUGGCGGCAGGCUUAACACAUGCAAGUCGAGCGCGUAGCAAUACGAGCGGCAGACGGGUGAGUAACGCGUGGGAAUCUACCCAUCCCUACGGAACAACUCCGGGAAACUGGAGCUAAUACCGUAUACGCCCUAACGGGGAAAGAUUUAUCGGGGAUGGAUGAGCCCGCGUUGGAUUAGCUAGUUGGUGGGGUAAAGGCCUACCAAGGCGACGAUCCAUAGCUGGUCUGAGAGGAUGAUCAGCCACAUUGGGACUGAGACACGGCCCAAACUCCUACGGGAGGCAGCAGUGGGGAAUAUUGGACAAUGGGCGCAAGCCUGAUCCAGCCAUGCCGCGUGAAUGAUGAAGGCCUUAGGGUUGUAAAGUUCUUUCACCGGAGAAGAUAAUGACGGUAUCCGGAGAAGAAGCCCCGGCUAACUUCGUGCCAGCCGCCGCGGUAA
rnacentral:rRNA from 1 species